CAGUAGCCGCGGUAAUACGAAGGGUGCAAGCGUUACUCGGAAUUACUGGGCGUAAAGCGUGCGUAGGUGGUGGUUUAAGUCCGUUGUGAAAGCCCUGGGCUCAACCUGGGAAUUGCAGUGGAUACUGGGUCACUAGAGUGUGGUAGAGGAUAGUGGAAUUUCCGGUGUAGCAGUGAAAUGCGUAGAGAUCGGAAGGAACAUCUGUGGCGAAGGCGACUAUCUGGGCCAACACUGACACUGAGGCACGAAAGCGUGGGGAGCAAACAGGAUUAGAUACCCCAGUAGUCCUGCUCUUAUACAC
rnacentral:rRNA from 1 species